AAACACGAACAGAACACACACUAAACACAGCGGCCGCUCCAGAUCAGUCCUACCACUCAUCCAAUCGUCACAAAAGCACUUGCCAGAGCCACUCCAGCCUCAACGGCUCAGUCACGUAGCCCCUCCGGCCUUCCCUCAGUCCCUCACUUACUCACUCUCUUCGGCCCUUCACUCCUCCAGGAGUAUGUCUAUUUCUUCUUGUGUGCGAGUACGCAAGUGUGUAGGUGUGUUAGCAUGAUGGUAUGAAGAAAAUGGAUUAGCCCGACAUUAUGCACAAUUGUUAGAUGAUCGGUACAUGUACUAGAUUUUUGUUUAUAAAAAAAUAAUACAGGCUGCUUAUGAGAUGAAUGUUACCCGACCCGAACCGUCGAACCGACCCGAAUUUUUUUAUGUUCGGACAUGUGAAUUUGGAGCAUUAAAAAAAGUGAACCCCUUGGAAAAAAUUUCUGGAUCCGC
rnacentral:lncRNA from 1 species